rnacentral:rRNA from 1 species
AAGGCUGCCUUAACAUGCAGUCGAACGGCAGCACGGACUUCGGUCUGGUGGCGAGUGGCGAACGGGUGAGUAAUGUAUCGGAACGUGCCUAGUAGCGGGGGAUAACUACGCGAAAGCGUAGCUAAUACCGCAUACGCCCUACGGGGGAAAGCAGGGGAUCGCAAGACCUUGCACUAUUAGAGCGGCCGAUAUCGGAUUAGCUAGUUGGUGGGGUAACGGCUCACCAAGGCGACGAUCCGUAGCUGGUUUGAGAGGACGACCAGCCACACUGGGACUGAGACACGGCCCAGACUCCUACGGGAGGCAGCAGUGGGGAAUUUUGGACAAUGGGGGAAACCCUGAUCCAGCCAUCCCGCGUGUGCGAUGAAGGCCUUCGGGUUGUAAAGCACUUUUGGCAGGAAAGAAACGUCAUGGGCUAAUACCCCGUGAAACUGACGGUACCUGCAGAAUAAGCACCGGCUAACUACGUGCCAGCAGCCGGGGGUAAUACA